rnacentral:tRNA from 1 species
GGCAGAAUGGCUGAGCCUAAGCAAUAAAUUGUAAAUUUAUUUACGAAUAAUAAUUCUUCUGCCA